rnacentral:rRNA from 1 species
GAUCAUGGCUCAGAGUGAACGCUGGCGGCGUGCCUAAUACAUGCAAGUCGAACGGAGAUUAAGUAGCUUGCUAUUUAAUCUUAGUAGCGCACGGGUGAGUAAUGUAUAGUUAAUCUGCCCCAUAGUGGAGGACAACAGUUAGAAAUGACUGCUAAUACUCCAUACUCCUUCUUAUCAUAAGUUAAGUCGGGAAAGUUUUUCGCUAUGGGAUGAGACUAUAUCGUAUCAG